GACGAACGCUGGCGGCGUGCUUAACACAUGCAAGUCAAGGGUGUAGCAAUACACACUGGCGAACGGGUGAGUAACGCGUAGAUAACCUGCCCUUAUCCCUGACAUAACUCAAAGAAAUUUGAGCUAAUAUCGGAUGAGGCAUUUCGAUGUCAAAGGAGCAAUCCGGAUAAGGAGGGGUCUGCAUCUGAUUAGCUAGUUGGUGGGGUAAAUGCCUACCAAGGCUACGAUCAGUAACUGGUCUGAGAGGAUGAUCAGUCACACUGGAACUGAGACACGGUCCAGACUCCUACGGGAGGCAGCAGUGAGGAAUAUUGGUCAAUGGACGAAAGUCUGAACCAGCGACGCCGCGUGUAGGACGAAGAAGCUUUGCUUCGUAAACUACUGUCGGGAGGGAAAAAAAGAAGUAUGAACUUCUGGGAUAGUACCUUCAAAGGAAGGAUCGGCUAACUACGUG
rnacentral:rRNA from 1 species